UGGAUCACAUUCCUGAAUAAUUUGUAUGAAAACUACUAAAGUAAUUCUCAAAAUAGCAAAAUUUUAAAAAGGACCCAGAAAUGCAAAGAAUAUCCCUACUGUGUUAAAAAAAUAAAUUGAAAGGUACAAACUUCCAGUUAUAAGAUGAAUGAGUCCUGGGGAUGCAGGGCACAGCACAGCAACUGGCAUUUACAAUCUUGAAUCGUAUACUUGGCAGUUGCUCUGAAAAUAGAGCUUUAAUGUUCUCACCAUCACAAGGAGAACAAGAAAACGGUUAAUUAUGUGAGGGGAGGUUUGCGGUGGUAAGCAUUUCACCAUAUAUUCACUUAUCAAGCCAUCACAUUGUACAUCUCAAACCUACAGUAUGCUAUAUGGAUUAUAUUGUAAAAAAGCCAGAAAAAAUAUAAAUUUAAAAAUGAAAAUGUUUUACUCAGAUGUCAUCACCAUGGUAAAUAAGCAAGAAAAAUGGAUAUACAAUUUGAAAAUAAGGAAGUGACAGAAGGAAUUUCACAAAAAAAAAGAAAGAAAGAAAGAAAGAAAAAAGAAAAUGAGGAAAGAAGCGCAAAUUUGAGGUCUGGGGGACUCGCUGUUCUGCAGCAGACAGAAUCAGCGAGAUUAGGAGGCUCCCCUGAGAGCUCUGUUGGCACUACAGGGAGAUGCUUUUUGCCAUCUGAGGCAGAGAGGGGGAACUCCCUUGAGACUGUUGCUGAUACAAUAAGAGAGACCUGAGUGAGUAGCUCCACAUCACCUUCAUAUUGCUGGGAGAAACCUGAACCACUGUCAUCUCAAGAACCCCAAACUACCAAGGAAGCAGUAGGGGCCUAUGCAAGAAAGUGGUUCCAUAAUAACUCCAUUCUUAUCUACCUCACCACCUUCAAGGGUCCAAUUGUCCCUGGUGGUUCAUUAUAGCUAGGAUUUUCUUUUCUUUCUUAUAUUCCUUGGAUAUAUUCUAGUCUGAUUCAAUUCCCUCCACAAGACCCACUCCAAACCCUUCUACUGUAUUUUCUGUAUGUUCCCACCUGAUACUGCAAUGUACUCGAUCAUGUAUGAUGUACUCACCACCAUCUUGCCUUAAUUAAAAACCCGCUGUCAUGGGAGGACAUUGAUUCCUCUGUCACCAUCUUGAUAUUUAACACCGGCCAAGACAAAGGCAGGACUGACACCUCUCCUGGACUACACACUUUAGAGGGCCCCACAUAACAACAUGAACAAUAUGUUUGUUAUGGAACACAUGGAGGAUUCUUUCACUUGGGAUUCAGCACUCAGAUGUAUGCGCCAUAGCUCUAAACAUCCACCCUCAUGACUAACAUGAUUGGAGCCCCAGAGAAAUGAUGCUCUGAGUGUCUGGUCUUGUAUUUUUGAAACAGAAGUCAGCUACAUCAAGAAUGCUGUUUGUGGGCUGGGCCACCACAUAUGUCAGAGAUGGACACCAUCUCAGAGUCUAGGGAGCUUUCAAGAAGUACAAAUUUAAGAAAGAAAAGACAAAUUCACUUUUCAGAUCCUUUUUUUCUCAUUAUAGCAAACAAAAUUUUGCAAAACAAGAUUUUAAUUUCCCAUUGGUCUUGAGUGUCCAUUUUCAUGUCCUGUCUUUCUUUUCCCCUCUUCCUUCCCCUACUCUACACUAAUCUUUUCUUCCAUCUUCCAAACUGAGCAUUGAGUGCCUAGUUUCCCAAUACAGAAGACUGACAGCCACCUUGUUCCCUUCCCUAACCUCAGUUCCUCACCUCGAAUCUAGCAGCAAAGUCUCUCUUUAGCAUUUCCAUGAUAUUUCUGCUGUAAUCUUAUGUCUCUUCUUAUACCACCAUCUUCCUCUAAAUCACUGUUUCUCUCCAGGAUUCCUCCAACUGAUUCUUAUCUCUGUUCUCCUGACCCAGCUCUGUCUAUCCCAUUCUCCAGACCUGAUCUUAGUCAGUAGACAGAGAUCUCCCCUAAAUAAAGUUAAAAAACAAUCUCCUUAAUAAUAUUGAGCCAAACACCAUAAAUAAAUUACUAAAUGGGAUUCUAUGACACAUUAAGAGAUUAAUGUGUAGUAACAGAAAGGAAUGGAUAUUACAACAUUAGGAAUUGUA
rnacentral:lncRNA from 1 species